rnacentral:rRNA from 1 species
CGGAACUCGGCAAAUUACCCCCGUAACUUCGGGAGAAGGGGGGCCACAGACUGUCAUACCCCACGCGGGUGGCAGCAGUAGGUGGCCGCAGAGACCAGGGGGAAGCGACUGUUUACUAAAAACACAGGUCCGUGCGAAGUCGUAAGACGAUGUAUACGGACUGACGCCUGCCCGGUGCUGGAACGUUAAGGGGACCGGUUAGUCCGCAAGGGCGAAGCUGAGAACUUAAGCGCCAGUAAACGGCGGUGGUAACUAUAACCAUCCUAAGGUAGCGAAAUUCCUUGUCGGGUAAGUUCCGACCUGCGCGAAUGGCGUAACGACUUCCCUACUGUCUCAACCACAGGCCCGGCGAAAUUGCACUACGAGUAAAGAUGCUCGUUACGCGCGGAAGGACGGAAAGACCCCGGGACCUUCACUAUAGCUUGACAUUGGUAUCCGAAUUUAAUUGUGUAGGAUAGGUGGGAGGCUUUGAUCCGCGGACGCCAGUCCGUCGGGGAGCCAACGUUGAAACACCACUCUGUUGACUUUGGGUAUCUAACUUCGGACCGUGAUCCGGUUCAGGGACAGUGUCUGGUGGGUAGUUUAACUGGGGCGGUUGCCUCCUAAAAUGUAACGGAGGCGCCCAAAGGUUCCCUCAGCCUGGUUGGCAAUCAGGUGUUGAGUGCAAGUGCACAAGGGAGCUUGACUGUGAGACUGACAGGUCGAGCAGGAACGAAAGUCGGGACUAGUGAUCCGGCACCUGCGAGUGGAAGCGGUGUCGCUCAACGGAUAAAAGGUACCCCGGGGAUAACAGGCUGAUCUUCCCCAAGAGUCCAUAUCGACGGGAUGGUUUGGCACCUCGAUGUCGGCUCGUCGCAUCCUGGGGCUGGAGUAGGUCCCAAGGGUUGGGCUGUUCGCCCAUUAAAGCGGCACGCGAGCUGGGUUUAGAACGUCGUGAGACAGUUCGGUCCCCAUCCUCCGCGCGCGUAGGAGACUUGAGAAGAGCUGUCCCUAGUACGAGAGGACCGGGACGGAUGAACCUCUGGUGUGCCAGUUGUCAUGCCAAUGGCACGGCUGGUUAGCUACGUUCGGAAGGGAUAACCGCUGAAAGCAUCUAAGCGGGAAGCUCGCUUCAAGAUGAGGUCUCCCACCCCUUAGAGGGUUAAGGCCCCCAGCUAGACCACUGGGUUGAUAGGCCAGAAGUGUAAGCCUGGUAACAGGUUCAGCCGACUGGUACUAAUAGGCCGAGGACUUCACUAU